UGACGAAGCGACGCCGCGUGCGGGAAGAAGGCCUUCGGGUUGUAAACCGCUGUCGGGAGUUAAGAAAUGCAAGGAUGUUAAUAGCGUUCUUGCUUGACUAAGGCUCCGGAGGAAGCCACGGCUAACUCUGUGCCAGCAGCCGCGGUAAUACAGAGGCGGCAAGCGUUGUUCGGAAUUAUUGGGCGUAAAGAGCACGUAGGCGGCUAUGUAAGUCGGUUGUGAAAGCCUUCCGCUCAACGGAAGAACAGCAUCCGAUACUGCAUGGCUUGAGUGCGGGAGGGGAGAGUGGAACUUCUGGUGGAGCGGUGAAAUGCGUAGAUAUCAGAAGGAACGCCGGCGGCGAAAGCGACUCUCUGGCCCGCAACUGACGCUGAGUGUGCGAAAGCUAGGGGAGCAAACGGGAUUAGAUACCCCGGUAGUCCUAGCCGUAAACGAU
rnacentral:rRNA from 1 species